GGGAGUGGUUGGGUCCCGGUGGGCCCUCCGGUCUUCAACACCGGCAUUGGGGCGCGUUGCGUUCCAGGGUGGGUUCGACCCCCAUGCACUCCC
rnacentral:tRNA from 1 species